CAAUAGCGUGUAUUAAAGUUGUUGCAGUUAAAAAGCUCGUAGUUGGAUUUCUGGUAGGAGUGACCGUUCCGAACUUGAUUGUUCGUGUAUUGUGUUUUCUCCAGCCAUCCUUGUGGAGAACUUUUCUUGCAUUAAUUUGUAGGGAUUGGGACCCGCAUCGUUUACUGUGAAAAAAUUAGAGUGUUUAAAGCAGGCAAUCGCUUGAAUACAUUAGCAUGGAAUAAUAAGAUAGGACUUUGGUACUAUUUUGUUGGUUUGCAUACCAAAUUAAUGAUCAACAGGAACAGUUUGAGGAUAUUCGUAUGAACAUGUCAGAGGUGAAAUUCUUGGAUUUUGAUCAGACGAACUACUGCGAAAGCAUUUAUCAAGGAUGUUUUCAUUAA
rnacentral:rRNA from 1 species